rnacentral:RNase_P_RNA from 1 species
GCAGAUAGCCGUCCUAUCGCGCCGUGCAAUACCGGUGAGGAAAGUCCGGGCAGCGCAGGGCACCAUACUUCCUAACCGGAAGAUGUCCGCGAGGGCAUAGCAGUGCAACAGAAAAUAACCGCCAUGCCUCUGGCAUGGUAAGGGUGAAAAGGUGAGGUAAGAGCUCACCGGGUUCCAUAGCAAUAUGGAAUGCCGUGCACCUUAUGGGCUGCAAGACCAUGUAUACUCCGAUUUCUCACGAAACAGGGCUGCCCGUCCUGUUCCCGCUUGCCGGGUGUCGGAGGGGGUAGGUCGCUUGAGGUUGUGGGUGACUACAAUCCCAGAUAAAUGAUAGGAGCGUUUUUAACGCACAGAACCCGGCUUACAGGUUAUCUGCUUGC